UGCUGGAGGUAUCAGAAGUGCGAAUGCUGACAUAAGUAACGAUAAAGCGGGUGAAAAGCCCGCUCGCCGGAAGACCAAGGGUUCCUGUCCAACGUUAAUCGGGGCAGGGUGAGUCGACCCCUAAGGCGAGGCCGAAAGGCGUAGUCGAUGGGAAACGGGUUAAUAUUCCCGUACUUGGUGUUACUGCGAAGGGGGGACGGAGAAGGCUAUGUUGGCCGGGCGACGGUUGUCCCGGUUUAAGCGUGUAGGCUGGUUUUCCAGGCAAAUCCGGAAAAUCAAGGCUGAGGCGUGACGACGAGGCACUACGGUGCUGAAGCAACAAAUGCCCUGCUUCCAGGAAAAGCCUCUAAGCAUCAGGUAACAUCAAAUCGUACCCCAAACCGACACAGGUGGUCAGGUAGAGAAUACCAAGGCGCUUGAGAGAACUCGGGUGAAGGAACUAGGCAAAAUGGUGCCGUAACUUCGGGAGAAGGCACGCUGACACGUAGGUGAAGUGAUUUACUCAUGGAGCUGAAGUCAGUCGAAGAUACCAGCUGGCUGCAACUGUUUAUUAAAAACACAGCACUGUGCAAACACGAAAGUGGACGUAUACGGUGUGACGCCUGCCCGGUGCCGGAAGGUUAAUUGAUGGGGUCAGCGCAAGCGAAGCUCCUGAUCGAAGCCCCGGUAAACGGCGGCCGUAACUAUAACGGUCCUAAGGUAGCGAAAUUCCUUGUCGGGUAAGUUCCGACCUGCACGAAUGGCGUAAUGAUGGCCAGGCUGUCUCCACCCGAGACUCAGUGAAAUUGAACUCGCUGUGAAGAUGCAGUGUACCCGCGGCAAGACGGAAAGACCCCGUGAACCUUUACUAUAGCUUGACACUGAACAUUGAGCCUUGAUGUGUAGGAUAGGUGGGAGGCUUUGAAGUGUGGACGCCAGUCUGCAUGGAGCCGACCUUGAAAUACCACCCUUUAAUGUUUGAUGUUCUAACGUGGACCCGUAAUCCGGGUUGCGGACAGUGUCUGGUGGGUAGUUUGACUGGGGCGGUCUCCUCCUAAAGAGUAACGGAGGAGCACGAAGGUUGGCUAAUCCUGGUCGGACAUCAGGAGGUUAGUGCAAUGGCAUAAGCCAGCUUGACUGCGAGCGUGACGGCGCGAGCAGGUGCGAAAGCAGGUCAUAGUGAUCCGGUGGUUCUGAAUGGAAGGGCCAUCGCUCAACGGAUAAAAGGUACUCCGGGGAUAACAGGCUGAUACCGCCCAAGAGUUCAUAUCGACGGCGGUGUUUGGCACCUCGAUGUCGGCUCAUCACAUCCUGGGGCUGAAGUAGGUCCCAAGGGUAUGGCUGUUCGCCAUUUAAAGUGGUACGCGAGCUGGGUUUAGAACGUCGUGAGACAGUUCGGUCCCUAUCUGCCGUGGGCGCUGGAGAACUGAGGGGGGCUGCUCCUAGUACGAGAGGACCGGAGUGGACGCAUCACUGGUGUUCGGGUUGUCAUGCCAAUGGCACUGCCCGGUAGCUAAAUGCGGAAGAGAUAAGUGCUGAAAGCAUCUAAGCACGAAACUUGCCCCGAGAUGAGUUCUCCCUGAGACUUAGAGUCUCCUGAAGGAACGUUGAAGACGACGACGUUGAUAGGCCGGGUGUGUAAGCGCAGCGAUGCGUUGAGCUAACCGGUACUAAUGAACCGUGAGGCUUAACCUU
rnacentral:rRNA from 1 species